GGCGAACGGGUGAGUAAUACAUGGGUGACCUACCCUCGAGUGGGGGAUAACCCGCCGAAAGGCGGGCUAAUACCGCAUACGGUUCCGGGUUCACGGACUCGGAAGGAAAGCUGCUCUGUGAGAGUGGCGCUCUUGGAUGGGCUCAUGUCCUAUCAGCUUGUUGGCGGGGUAACGGCCCACCAAGGCUUCGACGGGUAGCUGGUCUGAGAGGACGAGCAGCCACACUGGCACUGCGACACGGGCCAGACUCCUACGGGAGGCAGCAGUGAGGAAUAUUGCGCAAUGGGCGAAAGCCUGACGCAGCGACGCCGCGUGGGGGAUGAAGGUCUUCGGAUUGUAAACCCCUUUCGGGAGGGAAGAUGGUUGCAUACAAGUGCAACGGACGGUACCUCCA
rnacentral:rRNA from 1 species